UGCCUUUGCGAGAGCGGAGUUGGGUUCUCCUCAGCACAGACGCGGAGAGCAUCGCGAGGGCGGAGCUGCGUUCUCAUCUGCACAGAUUUCAGUGGUACUGCGAAGGCGGAGCAGAGUUCUCCUCAGAUGAUGAUUAUUCCCCACCUUCUAAGAGACAAAGACCAACGAGCCGCCACAGCCACCAGUCCCAGAACCCGCCAAUGCUGGGGAACGGAAAAUGAGGGAGUUCAACUCUGGCCCUCACAAUCCAGUGGAGGAGACGCAACUCAUCUGCCUCUGUCCCUCUGGGCACGCCUCGUGCCAGGUGCAUCUGUGGACAGGGGCCAUGCUCCUGGGCUUCCAAAGUUGGAGAAAGCUGCCAGGCUCAGGUCUGAAGGCCAGAAUUCUACAGUAAGUCCUACUGAGUCAAGGUGGGAGCAGGGUCGGUAGCUUCCGAGGCUCUGCGGGAGAAUCUGUUUCCUGGCCGUAGAGGUGGCCUGCACUCCUCAGCCUGUGCUGCCCGUCUCGAAUGACUGGAGUUUCCUGCUUCUGUCACUACACCUCCCACCCUCUCCAUCACCUGCUCUGCUCUUACAAGGAUCCGAAGAAAUGGAAUCAUCGUAUCGCUGAUCUACGUAAACAAACUGAAGAAUUGUCUGAAAGAAAAUAUGACAUGAACUUAUGAAUUCAAUAGGUGAAGAUUUACAACUUGAUAAAUCAACUUUGUCAGCUCGAGCUGUAAAAGCCAAAGGUCCGGUGAUGAUCCCAUACCCUUUUUUCCAGUCUCAUGUUGAAGAUUUUUAUGUAGAAGGCCUUCCCAAAGGAAUUUUUUUUUUUUUUUUUUUUUUGAGAUGGAGUUUUCACUCUUAUCGCCCAGGCUGGGGUGCAAUGGCACAACCUUGCUGGUCACUGCAACCUCUGCCUCCUGGGUUCAAGAAAUUCUCCUGCCUUAGCCUCCCAAGUCACUGGGAUUACAGGUGCCCACCACCACACCAGGCUAAUUUUUGUAUUUUUAGUGGAGAUGCGGUUUCACCAUGUUGGCCGGGCCAGUCUCGAACUCCUGACGUCAAGUGAUCUUCCCGCCUCGACUCCUGAUAUCAAGUGAUCUUCCCGCCUCGGCCUCCCAGAGUGCUGAGAUUACAGACGUGAACCCAUGCCUGGCCAGGAAUUUUGUUUUUUAGGAAGGCUUUCUACUAAUGGAAUUCCUGGCCUUGAGAGGAUGUUACUUUAGAAGGAAAGGAUUUUUUUGUUAUUAAAAGAGCCACCUAAGCUGAAGAUUCCCUUGAGAACAAGUACUGUCCCUAGUUUCCCAGUGCUGGAAUAUAGAAAAUGGAUGGACAACUGGACCUACCAUGAAAGACUUCUGAAUCCAGGAAGAGAAACUGACUGGGCAACAUGUUAUUCAGUGCAAGGAUUACAGGUAUGAGCCACCAUGCCUGGCCCCUACCCUGCCUACUGAGAACCAAAGGAAGGAUCCAAAUUCUCCUUAGCUCAACUCGAGCCAUUUCCUGAUUGCUUCAUCAGUGAGGAGCUGGUUAUUGGGCUGUCCAGGCCUCCCAAGCAGCACAGAAAUGAGGUGAAGGAGUUUUCCUGUUGCUCCACUCUGUAAGGAGUUGGAGGGUGAUGUUUACUCAUUUGCAGAGAGAGAUGCCUUGUAGGCACCUCAGCAUGGAGAGGGCCCUGAUUCC
rnacentral:lncRNA from 1 species